GACGAACGCUGGCGGCGUGCUUAACACAUGCAAGUCGAACGGAAAGGCCCUGCUUUUGUGGGGUGCUCGAGUGGCGAACGGGGGAGUAACACGUGAGUAACCUGCCCUUGACUUUGGGAUAACUUCAGGAAACUGGGGCUAAUACCGGAUAGGAGCUCCUGCUGCAUGGUGGGGGUUGGAAAGUUUCGGCGGUUGGGGAUGGACUCGCGGCUUAUCAGCUGGUUGGUGAGGUAGUGGCUUACAAAGGCUUUGAGGGGUAGCCGGCCUGAGAGGGUGACCGGCCACAUUGGGACUGAGAGACGGACCAGACUCCUACGGGAGGCAGCAGUGGGGAGUAUUGCACAGUGGGCGGAAGCCUGAUGCAGCAACGCCGCGUGCGGGAUGACGGCCUUCGGGUUGUAAACCGCUUUCGCCUGUGACGAAGCGUGAGUGACGGUAAUGGGUAAAGAAGCACCGGCUAACUACGUG
rnacentral:rRNA from 1 species